rnacentral:lncRNA from 1 species
AUGGAAAGUUCAACACAUGUGAGACUCCGAAUGAUUCCUCAACUGCUGUCCCCCACUUGUGACAAAAAGUCUCUCGGCUGCAGCCAGGCAGGGCACAGGAAGGGUUCGGCUGCCCGAGAGUCCAGCUGUCUGCUUGAACGUCAGUCCCGGCCCAGGGCUGAGGGGUCAGCGGAGAGCGCCCCGCCGCGGCUGAGACGCCGAGCUGGGGUUCUGGACCCCGGGGCGCCGCCUGGGACUGCUUCGGGGCUGGAGAUUCCCUGGGGCCGCCCGCCACCCCGCACGGCGGCGCCCCGGGUCCCCAUCGCGCCUGGGAAGGGCCCGGGGGAGCGGCUCCGCCCGGGCCUGGAAACCGGGUCAACGCGGCUAGGGCCCAGGGCCGCCUGCGGUCCCCUGCAGGCGCCGGGAAGGGGCCAAGCGCCCGGGGCCGGGGAGGGUCAGGAUCGGCUUCCGACGGCCGCCUCCCGGCCCGCAGGGGAUAAGAAGGCGCGGGAGGAGAGCGUGCGCAGGCUACAGCCCUCCGGGAAGCCGCGCCGGGCGCCGGCACUACCCAGGGCGAGAGCGGCGCAGAGCGUGGCCACGGCUUGGAGGCGAGCGGCGGAAGGAAGGCUCCGCGGAUUGCGGGCGAGUCGCACCUGGAGCCGGCGCAGCCGUGACUACCGAGGAGUAGGCGGAGGAGACGGCGGCUGUUCCAGAGGAGGGAGUCGUCAUAACCGGCUACUGCCGCUCACCGGAAACCUUCGGCGCUGGAGCUGGGCCAGGGGGCGCCAAGGAGCAGCUGGGACACCUUGGCCAGCCGGCGCCAGGGGAGGGAUCGGGUCCCGCAGAGGCAGGACCGGGGCGACACCUCGGAGGGUCAGGGCGCGGGGAGUGGCCUCCACCCGGCAAGCGCGGCUGGGAGGGGUUCAGAGUGGGGGAACCUUCUGCUCUUCCUGGCGCUCUCCAGCGAAGGUUCGCGCGAGUCCGCCAGCUCCCUCACUAGGGCCGGAAAGACCCGCGGCGCCGGCCGAAGCCGGACCCCCAGCUCCAGCGCCGCAGCUCGCGCCUCCUGAAGCGAGAGGUUAA